UACGAGGGGGGCAAGCGUUGUUCGGAAUUAUUGGGCGUAAAGGGCGCGUAGGCGGUGCGGUAAGUCUGAUGUGAAAUCUCCGGGCUCAACUCGGAGUCUGCAUCAGAAACUGCCGUGCUUGAGUGUGGGAGAGGUGAGUGGAAUUCCCGGUGUAGCGGUGAAAUGCGUAGAUAUCAGGAAGAACACCCGUGGCUAAGGCGGCUCUCUAGUACGGUACUGACGCUGAGACGCGAAAGCGUGGGGAGCGAACAGG
rnacentral:rRNA from 1 species